GACGAACGCUGGCGGCGUGCUUAACACAUGCAAGUCGAACGGAAAGGCCCUGCUUGCAGGGUGCUCGAGUGGCGAACGGGUGAGUAACACGUGGGUGUUCUGCCCCUUACUUUGGGAUAAGCCUUGGAAACUGUGUCUAAUACUGGAUAGGACCAUGCUUUAGGUGGUGUGGUGGAAGGAUUAGUUUCGGUGAGGGAUGAGCUCGCGGCCUAUCAGCUUGUUGGUGGGGUAAUGGCCUACCAAGGCGUCUACGGGUAGCCGGCCUGAGAGGGUGGACGCCGGCAUUGGGGCUGCGGAACGGCGCAGACUCCUACGAGGGGCAGCAGUGGGGGAGAUUGUACAAUAAGGGCAAGACUGAUGCAGCGACGCCGCGUGGGGGAUGACGGCCUUCGGGUUGUAAACUCCCGUCAGCGAUGACGAAGAACUGGUGGUGACGGUAGUGGUAGAAGAAGCACCGGCUAACUACGUG
rnacentral:rRNA from 1 species